GCCUGGGUGGCUCAGUCGGUUAAGCGUCUGACUUCGGCUCAGGUCAUGAUCUCGCAAUUCGUGGGUUCGAGCCCCACGUCGGGCU
rnacentral:tRNA from 1 species